rnacentral:lncRNA from 1 species
GAAAACUUUACUGUGUAUUUUUACUUUCUCCCUUAGUCAUUCAAAAACCUACAUUUGCCCCCUUAAAAAAUAAAAAAUGUUUACUUCGGCCCCACCGUCAGUGUUCCGUUCGGAUUCUGUUUAUAUCAUAUUUUUUAUACCCAAAAUACCCUUGAAACCCUCAUCUUCCUCUUUCUUUCUCACCGACAUCCUCGACCGCACUGCUUUGCCCUACUUCACCGCCUCGCCCUCACCCUCACCCUCAUGCACUCCUCUGUCGGUGCCCAAAGAAGCGCUCUCGCCCUCCACCCUUGACCUCGCCCUCGCCUACCUUUCCGUCCAUACCUAGCACGAUCUCCUUCCUACAGUCGCCGAAAUAGAAAGGCGGCGAGGGUGUUGGAGGAGUAGAGAAGCAGGUAAAGGAAACGAAGUCGAAGCUGGGGUCAAGGGAAGCGCGGGCAAGGGAUGAGCAGGAUUGGGGAGAAAACGAAGAAGAUGAGAGCAAUUUGGUCAUUUUGUCACACCGUUUCCUCCUGUGAACAUUUUUUUUAUUUUUAAGGGAGCAAAGUGUAGGUUUUUAAAUGACAGAGGGAGGAAAGUGAAAAGCGAGUAUUGACAGAGAGGUUUUGUCACGCCCCGGAUUACUCGUUUUUUCGGGCACGCCGACAAAUCCGCCGUAUACAAAGAAAUUUCUCCUGUAUACGAAGCGAUAGCUGUACCUGAAAACAAAAUUCAAACUACAACUAGUAGUAUAGAGCUGCUAAACUGAACUGAAAAUAAAUAAACAUUAGGUUCACUAUACAUACAAAAUCUCUCAGAUACAACAUCUCUCGCUC